UACGAAGGGGGCUAGCGUUGCUCGAAAUCACUGGGCGUAAAGCGCACGUAGGCGGGUUGUUAAGUCGGGGGUGAAAUCCUGGAGCUCAACUCCAGAACUGCCUUCGAUACUGGCGACCUUGAGUCCGGGAGAGGUGAGUGGAACUCCGAGUGUAGAGGUGAAAUUCGUAGAUAUUCGGAAGAACACCAGUGGCGAAGGCGGCUCACUGGCCCGGUACUGACGCUGAGGUGCGAAAGCGUGGGGGAGCAAACAGG
rnacentral:rRNA from 1 species